rnacentral:tRNA from 1 species
CCAGUGGUGAUUCAGUGGUAGAAUUCUCACCUUUCAUGUAGGAGAACUGGGUUUGAUUCCCAGCCGAUGCA